AGUGAACGCUGGCGGUAGGCCUAACACAUGCAAGUCGAACGGCAGCACAGUAAGAGCUUGCUCUUACGGGUGGCGAGUGGCGGACGGGUGAGGAAUAUAACGGAAUCUACUUUUUCGUGGGGGAUAACGUAGGGAAACUUACGCUAAUACCGCAUACGACCUACGGGCGAAAGCAGGGGAUCUUCGGACCUUGCGCGAUUGAAUGAGCCGCUGUUGGAUUAGUUAGUUGGCGGGGUAAAGGCCCACCAAGGCGACGAUCCGUAGCUGGUCUGAGAGGAUGAUCAGCCACACUGGAACUGAGCCACGGUCCAGACGCCUACGGGAGGCAGCAGUGUGGAAUAUUGGACAAUGGGCGCAAGCCUGAUCCAGCCAUACCGCGUGGGUGAAGAAGGCCUUCGGUUUGGAAUGCCCUUUUGUUGGGAAAGAAAAGCAUCAGGUUAAUACCCCGCUGUUCUGACGGUACCCAAAGAAUAAGCACCGGCUAACUUCGUG
rnacentral:rRNA from 1 species